GCGUCGUUAUCCAGUGAGAAUCGGCAUUCUUGGAAUUUCUAAAGAUGGUGUCGGGCAGCCAGAUCAGACCGACCAUAUUGCUGGUUGAAAAAGAGGGAAAUUGAUACAGAGAGAGAGAGGAAAGGAGGAGGAACGAUACCUGCUCCAUUGGCACUGCUCAUCCCGUUCCUCCUUGCACAGAGUCCUCCAGCAGGCCACUAGUAUAAAUGUCUCUCAUUAAACAAUCAUAAAGAGACUUAGGGCCCGACAUCCUCUAGUGCACCCUGUGCUCACUCUUCAGCACCAUGGAGCCCGACUGCCAGUGGCCAUCGAAUAUCAGAACUGGCAGAUCCACCACUGGCCCUGCGCUUUUCAUAGAUGAGAGCAGGUUCACCUUCAGCACAUGUGACUGAUGUGACAGGGUCUGGAGAAGCCGUGAAGAACAUUAUGUUGCCUGUAAUGUCGUUCAGCAUAAACGUGGUGGGUCAAUGAUGGCUGGAGAGGCAUAUCCAUGAAGGUACUCACAGAACUCUACAGGCUAAGUUACGACAGCCUGACUUUCAUGAGGUAUAAGGAUGAAAAUCUUGGACCCAUUGUCAGACACUCCACUGGUAUAGUGGAUCCUGGGUUCCUUCUGGUACUUGACAAUGCAUCCCCUCAUGUGGAGAGAGUAUGCAGGUAAGUGUUCCUUUAUUUAUUUAUUUUUCGAGCUGUAUAAGAGGCAUCACAUACAUUAUAUAUUAUAACAGCCAUCCAAAUAAUGAUGAAUGCACUACAUGAUUUUGUUUUUUUAGCAUUUACAUAAACAUCAGUUGCAACGCUGCAAUAACCAUUCAGGUCGAAAUUUAUGUUUAAUUAACAUAACAUCAGUUUGCUAUAAAUGUGUAACCCAUUAUCAGUGCUAGAUUUGCUGAAAUCAAUUAUAUUAUGUGCAAUCUAAUUAUGUUUGCACUGGUGCAGAAUGCAGGAUAACUGGCCUGAAUCACUGAAGCAGAGGUGGACCAGCAUCGAGUAUGGACAAUACCGGGCAACCCAUCUCUAGUACAAGCAUACAAGUAGAAGGAAAUGACGGAGAACUCCAUCACUUUUUAAACCGAAAAUUUAAAACCCUGGUUUUAGUUCUUGAAAGUCUUCCUUACUGUAAUUUGUUCUUGGGGUCUGCAGGACGCUCACUCAGUAGCAGCAGUUCUUGGUAAGUUUGUUGGUGUUAUCAGGGUUAAUUACGAGCAAGUCAACAAAAGAAAAUCAAUUCAGGCUUCCGUGAAUAUGCCACCAUUACAGCUGGCACAUAAUGAACUCUACUUCAUUACUGCUUCUACUUCAUUGCUGAUCAAGUAGAAUCCUGCGAGCUCUGAAAUAUUGUCUUGCACUUUAUUAUAAUGCUUUGCCAAAAAAAAAAAAAAUCUCAAACUUAAACACAUAUCACUGACUAAUGUACUUCCUCAGGCAAAACCAAUGCCGCAUAGUUGUUAUAAAUAUUUAUAAGUGAAAUAUUUAUAUCUCUCAGACUCUGGGAAAUUGGUCGCUGGGCUACAUCUUCAAUCCUUCAAGAAGAAAAAUGAUUUUUUUUUUUUAAAUCUCCAAGUAAUGUGUCCACUUCUGGAGUGGAUCUAAUGCUACUUCAUCACCACAAACAAUGUUUAGUUAUUUACUUUUACUCUCCUCAUCUGCACUACUGCUCUCCACCCCACCCCACCUUGUCCCCAAAGAAACACAUUGACCCAGAAUGCAAUGGUGUAGCAUUUUCCUGCCGGCAGCCCUCGCGGUGAUGCUCCUUGUGUGUGUGACGGGCUGAAAAAAACGGUAAACACGAUCAUUCAUCCGCCGCUUUGGGGUGAUGAUGAACUUCUGUCAUACGUGUAAUAAACAAAACUGUCCUGUACCUGAGGAUAUGAGUGGCAUUUUGAAGAUUGCUUUUGUGUAUGUGUGUGUGUAUGGAGCUAAUUUCAUAAACAUGCUUUUGUAUUGUUCAUUCCUAGGAAUCAAAUAGAAGGACCUUUUGAAAGAAACAAAAGAAAGCCAUUUGCAUACCUGGCUGUUUACUCGAACGCAGUUUGUGAGGGUGUAGGAGGCAAAAAUGAAAAAUGACGCAGACUGCCGGCUGUGCUUCGCUGAACAUCUAUCCUAAGCCCUGCCACAGACUGACAGCCUGUCCAGGGUGUACCCUGCCUUCUCGCUCCAUGGCAGCUGGGAUGGAUGGAUGGAUGGAUGGGUAAUUUAUAAACACAGACAGAUUAUUAUGAACAUGUUGUAACGAAUCUUAGUCAUUCUGUGUCGAUGAGCAUAACUUGGCUGCGACACACCUCUUUGCAAUAGGGGACUUGACUCAGCUGCUUGCCAAUUGCUUGUAUUCUGGUUAUAUUCCUUUAUAAAAGCAAGCAGGACACACAACGACAUCACUCUUUCUCGAAGAAUUUCAGAUUUAUUUUUUCAACUAGUUUCUGUCGCAAGUCUGAAAGUAAGUGGCUAAUGGGAAUUUCUGUUUUAUGUCAGUUCCUGUGUAUGUAGAUGGCAGUUUGCCUCCAUGUUAUUAUAAGAUCAGGUUUUAUUGCUCAGUCCAUCUUUUUUUGCCUAGAGUAAGUGGUUAUAUUUAUGUCACACAAUUGUUGCUACGAUAUAUUUCCACUUGUUCUUUUUUAUUCAUGGCUUACACCGAUUAAACCACAUUGUUUAGACAGCUGAAUACAAUCGUUCAGUGGUCCAAUUGCUUUACCUUUGACAAUGAGCCGGGUAUUACUCUGCACACUUCAAUCUAUCCAACCAUGGGUUGGUCAUUAUAGCAGUUACCCAUGGCACCUAUGGUGUCACAGCUAUGCUAAUCUAAUAGGAACAUCUGCAGUCGAACUGCGAACAGAACAAACAGAGGACAGUGUGACAGAACAGACAUUAGUGUCUGUAAGCUUUGCUACUGCAAAACCAGAACAACCCUGACACCGCCCCUGUGGAUGCAACUACACAAUUCAACACUUUUUCAGGAUAAGGGGAGUGCUAGCAUGUGGCACAGCGCUGUUUUAUUGAUCAUUGCUCAUUGUUUCACUUUGAGCAGAUCAUUUGUACAUUAGGAUCUGCAUAAAACAAAGAGACAGCCAGCAUAAAGCGAAUGCUUCCAAACUCAUCUCUUCAGGGGUAUUCAAGCCCACAUACUCAACAUAUACUGUACAAGAAUGACUCACCAUACAUUCCUUUGCCACCAUAACACUUAUGUUUCUUCAAAGUAAGUCAAAAUGAAUUCGUGAACAUCCAGUAUCAGCAGCUGGAUC